rnacentral:rRNA from 1 species
UACAGAGGGUGCAAGCGUUGUUCGGAAUUAUUGGGCGUAAAGGGCGCGUAGGCGGUGCGGUAAGUCUGUAGUGAAAUCUCUGGGCUCAACUCAGAGUCUGCUGCAGAAACUGCCGUGCUUGAGUGUGGGAGAGGUGAGUGGAAUUCCCCGGUGUAGCGGUGAAAUGCGUAGAUAUCAGGAGGAACACCGGUGGUGUAAACGGCUUUCUGGACCGUAACUGACGCUGAUGCACGAAAGCGUGGGUAGCAAACAGG